GACAGAGGGUGCAAACGUUGCUCGGAAUUACUGGGCGUAAAGCGCGUGUAGGCGGACCACCAAGUCAGGCGUGAAAUCCCUGGGCUCAACCCAGGAACUGCACCUGAAACUGGCGGUCUUGAGUGGUGGAGAGGGAAGCAGAAUUCCAGGUGUAGCGGUGAAAUGCGUAGAUAUCUGGAGGAACACCGGUGGCGAAGGCGGCGUCCUGGACCAACACUGACACUGAGGAGCGAAAGCCAGGGGAGCAAACGGG
rnacentral:rRNA from 1 species